rnacentral:rRNA from 1 species
AUUGAACGCUGGCGGCAGGCCUAACACAUGCAAGUCGAGCGAGCGGCGGACGGGUGAGUAAUGCCUGGGAAUUGCACAGUAGAGGGGGAGAACAGUUGGAAACGACUGCUAAUAACGCAUACGAUUGGAUGGCCCAGGUGGGAUUAGCUAGUUGGUGAGGUUAUGGCUCACAAAGGCGACGAUCCCUAGCUGGUCUGCGAGGAUGAGCAGCCACACGGGAACUGCGACACGGUCCCGACUCCUAGGGCAGGCAGCAGUGGGGAAUAUUGCACAAUGGGUGACACCCGGAUGCAGCCAUGCCGCGUGUGUGAAGAAGGCCUUCGGGUUGUAAAGCACUUUCAGUGAGGAGACGUUACUCGCAGAAGAAGCACCGGCUAACUCCGUGCCAGCAGCCGCGGUAAUAC